UACGGGGGGGGCAAGCGUUGUUCGGAAUUACUGGGCGUAAGGGCUCGUAGGCGGCCAACUAAGUCAGACGUGAAAUCCCCAGGCUCAACCUGGGAACUGCGUCUGAUACUGGAUGGCUUGAAUCCGGGAGAGGGAUGCAGAAUUCCAGGUGUAGCGGUGAAACGCGUAGAUAUCUGGAGGAAUACCGGUGGCGAAGGCGGCAUCCUGGACCGGCAUUGACGCUGAGGAGCGAAAGCUAGGGGAGCAAACGGG
rnacentral:rRNA from 1 species